rnacentral:rRNA from 1 species
AAUCUUGCGCAAUGGCCGAAAGGCUGACGCAGCGACGCCGCGUGCGGGAGGAAGCCCUUCGGGGUGUAAACCGCUGCCAGGGGGGACGAAGUGCCGUGGAGGGAAUACCGCCGCGGCUCGACGGUACCCCCAGAGGUAGCGACGACCAACUCCGGGCCAGCAGCCGCGGUAAGACGGAGGGCGCAAGCGUUGUCCGGAAUUACUGGGCGUAAAGCGCGCGCAGGCGGAUGAGGCAAGUCGGAAGUGAAAUACCGGGGCUCAACCCCGGGGCUGCUUCCGAUACUGCUCGUCUAGGGACCGGUAGAGGCUGGUGGAAUUCCCGGUGUAGCGGUGGAAUGCGUAGAGAUCGGGAAGAACACCUGUGGCGAAGGCGGCCAGCUGGGCCGGAUCCGACGCUGAGGCGCGAAAGCGUGGGGAGCAAACAGG